AUACAGAGGGUGCGAGCGUUAAUCGGAAUUACUGGGCGUAAAGGGUGCGUAGGCGGUUAUGUAAGUCAGAUGUGAAAGACCUUGGCUCAACCAGGGAAUUGCAUUUGAUACUGCAUGCCUAGAGUAUGGUAGAGGAAAGUGGAAUUUCCGGUGUAGCGGUGAAAUGCGUAGAUACCGGAAGGAACACCAGUGGCGAAGGCGACUUUCUGGACCAAUACUGACGCUGAGGCACGAAAGCGUGGGGAGCGAACAGGAUUAGAUACCCUGGUAGUCCAUGCCGUAAACGAUGAAUGCUAGGUGUUGGAGGGUUUCCGCCCUUCAGUGCCGCAGCUAACGCAUUAAGCAUUCCGCCUGGGGAGUACGACCGCAAGGUUGAA
rnacentral:rRNA from 1 species